rnacentral:rRNA from 1 species
CCCGCUCCCGGUAAAACGGGACGGCCCGCCAGAGGACCCCUAAACUCUGUUUCUAUAUGUAACUUCUGAGUAAAACCAUAAAUAAAUCAAAACUUUCAACAACGGAUCUCUUGGUUCUGGCAUCGAUGAAGAACGCAGCAAAAUGCGAUAAGUAAUGUGAAUUGCAGAAUUCAGUGAAUCAUCGAAUCUUUGAACGCACAUUGCGCCCGCCAGUAUUCUGGCGGGCAUGCCUGUUCGAGCGUCAUUUCAACCCUCAAGCACAGCUUGGUGUUGGGACUCGCGUUAAUUCGCGUUCCUCAAAUUGAUUGGCGGUCACGUCGAGCUUCCAUAGCGUAGUAGUAAAACCCUCGUUACUGGUAAUCGUCGCGGCCACGCCGUUAAACCCCAACUUCUGAAUGUUGACCUCGGAUCAGGUAGGAAUACCCGCUGAACUUAAGCAUAUC